rnacentral:tRNA from 1 species
CGGGGAGUAGCGCAGUCUGGCAGCGCACCUGCCUUGGGAGCAGGGGGUCGAAGGUUCAAAUCCUUUCUCCCCGACCA